UGGAAGCUUCAAAAUAAAAUAACAAACCC
rnacentral:piRNA from 1 species